AUGCUUGUCCACACAUGUGAUUCCCAAGACAAUCCCCCUUCCAUGAAUUCGCCAUCCCAUGAUACACUACCUGCAGACUUAGAUCCUGAGAUCUCUAACCUUAUCCUUUCUUAUCAGGCCAUUUUCACUCUUCAACAUGCCUACCCCCGAUUAGGCCCCAUGUCCGUGAGAUGUUUGCCAUCACUGAAGCUGUCAAGAAAUGAAGAAUUUAUCUUAUCAACCAGCAGUUUCAUAUUUUCACUGAUUAGAAAAGCUUAUGAAACCUACUUUUGCAGAAGAUUCAAACACACGAACAACAAAAAUGGGCAUCUAAGUUACAAGGCUUUAACUUUGAAAUCUUCUACAAACCCGGAAAACCAAAUUUUGUGGGUGAUGCUUUAA